rnacentral:lncRNA from 1 species
GAAGUUUUUAAUUUCAGAUUGUACUACUACGUUAGUCAUAGAUUUUGGCAGUUUGAAAAAAAUGGCGGCAACUCUCACUCAAAUUAAACGUCCGUCUGGUGCAAUAUAAUAUUUCAAGAAGAAAAGCUCACAGGAAGGAGAAAAUAAAAUCGCGGAUUGUGUCAGGAGGUAAACCAGAGCGAUAGAUUAUUUAUCGAGACAUCUUUCGUUUCGUUCUUCUCGUUCCAUUCUUCUUCUCCUUCUCAUCCCUAUUUCUCAAAGCUCCGUGCGUCAUCCGGCGUCUCCCCAGGGAUUCAGGAAACAAUGUCAUCUAUCUUCCAGCGUGAUCCACGUCCGGUGCAUCAUGCUGGAAUUACCGGUACUAAUACACACUACUGUAUCGUAUAGCCGAGACUAUAUGAGGAUCUAAGGUUAACCUUUUCAUCCCUAAUAGAGAUCCUACCUAGUUGAUUUAUCCUGUUCAAAAAUCAAUCCUUGAUUUUGAUUACUACUUAAAUUUCAUUAAAAAUUUAUGAAGAAAAUGUUUGAUAAAUGAUAAAAGCGUGUAACAAGAUGGACGAUCUGGAAAAAUAUAGAUAUAGUAUGCAUUCAUACAUUCAUAUAUACAUACAUGAAUUCACAAAGUAGAUCAGUUGCGUUUUGUGAAGAAGGAACGAACAUAACGGUGAAAAGCGACGAUUUUCCUGGAAAAAUUUUCAACGCACGGAUCUUACUUGAUAGUAGUGCAAGGAUAAAAUUAUUAUUUAAUGAAUGUUCGGGUAUUCAAAAUUCUGCUGUAUACGUUUCUACGUAUGCAUAUACAUGCAUAGAUGUAUUAGAGUCUUUACGGAUUUUAUAGAAAUGGCAAAGGCAAUGGUGGUAUAUUCAUCGUUUAAAUAAAUUAUGAGAAUUAAGGACUUUGAGUAAGCCCGUUUUGAACUUUUAGAGCGUGAUUUAUUUGCUCGUGAAUAAAUCCUUUAUAUAGUGAGAAUAGGUGAUAGGAGUUUGGUAAAGUGAGAGAUGGGAAGGAACGAAACUGGCAGGUUGGUGUCGUACACGCAACGAGGAAACUGCUAAGACGUUUCUUGUAUCUACAUACAAACAAGAUCUCUGAUGGUAAGACUGCCUAAGGUUGACAGCUGUCUGAGAAUUUUCACUGCGACAACGACGACGAAGACGAAGACGACGAGAACGACGAUGACGACGACGACGGUGCUAUCUCCAUAGCUGGAUCAAUUUCCUGGAUCCCUUUCGUGUGAAACAUACUAGUUGAAGAAUAGCUAGCUACCUUGGUUACCCAAUUCGAGAAUAAACGAAGAAACGAAGGAACGAAGGAAUGAACGAACGAACGAAUGUUGCCAUUAGCGGUCGAGUGCAUUCGAGUUUGUGAAAAUGUAAGCUAAAAAGAGAAAUACUAAGAAACUGUGCAAAAUAGAAAAA